AUUAUACAUAGCACAAUUUAUUAGUCUGUUAGUGAGUUUCUAAGGGAUGUUCAAAUAGCAAUCAGUAGAUGCAAACCUCUAUCUUCUUUAUAUUCAAAGAUUUAGUAUAACUCAUUUUUAAGAAGCAAUAAUCUUUCCAACAAAUGCUUAGGAAGAGCAUUUGAGAAGGGAUUUCUUCAAACAUAUUCAAGAACUGGGAAGCUUGUGCCUCUACACUAUGAAAGCCUCUACACUAUGAAAGGCAAAGAGUCUUUGGGAGGAGUUAGUGGUAAGCCUCGAAAUUCUAAUCUUUUUAAAAUUUUCCUUUGGCAUGAUGCUCCAAACGGGUCUAUAAAUUAUAAAAUCGAACAUUGUAAACUUUGUAGGGUCAAUAAAAAUCAAUGUUCUUUUAUGAUACAUGAAGUUCAUUAUGUUCUUUUAAGAACUGCUACAUGAGGUUAACGAUCUCCUCCAAUGCGUUGUAUGAGGAGCCUCCAUUUCUUACAGAGGCUUUGAGAUUCUCUUUUAAAACAAGGGCUCUCUCUCUCAUGUCUGCACCUUCUUCAUCCACUAUCAACCUCUUCACAGCUCUCUCGACCCCUCCCCUCUCUACCUUACCUUGCACCUGAAACCCUAUUCUCCAAAUACUCUCUAAACACAGUGCGUUUAACUUUUGCUCGCCAUGAAAGGGCCUGCAUAUCAUUGGAACUCCUUCCACAAUGCUUUCAAGCGUUGAGUUCCAUCCACAGUGGCUCCAGAAUCCUCCCACUGCAGGAUGUCCAAGUACUUCUAUCUGUGGUGCCCAUUUCACAAUAUACCCUCUUUCGGAGACCAUCUUAAUGACUUCCUCUGGCAGUGACUCUAUCCAUUCGGAGCCUGCGAUAGAGCCAGGCCGAAUGACCCAUAAGAAAGGCUGGUUGCUAUUAAAUAAACCCCGAGCCAUCUCUAACACUUCUUUGGUUUCCAUUUGAACUACGCUCCCCAAGCUUAUGUAAACGACUGACCUCGGUUUUUGCUUGUUCAACCAUUCAACGCAGCUCCUGUCCUCUUCCAGUAAACUAGAAGCUGCUGAAACUGUAAUGUGAAGAGGGCCUAAUGCGUACACCGGAAUCCCGAGUUCAUGUUGCAGACGUUUCAGAGACGAGCUCUCUAGACAUCUCACU